rnacentral:rRNA from 1 species
GACGUAGGGCGCGAGCGUUGUCCGGAUUUAUUGGGCGUAAAGAGCUCGUAGGCGGCUUGUCGCGUCGGCUGUGAAAACCCGCAGCUCAACUGCGAGCUUGCAGCCGAUACGGGCAGGCUAGAGUUCGGUAGGGGAGACUGGAAUUCCUGGUGUAGCGGUGAAAUGCGCAGAUAUCAGGAGGAACACCGGUGGCGAAGGCGGGUCUCUGGGCCGAUACUGACGCUGAGGAGCGAAAGCGUGGGGAGCGAACAGG